CCGUGUUCGAAAAUUGACCGACAGUACUGUCAGCAAUCUUUCAUCUCUUUUGCGCUUGCAAGUUCACGAAUAGCUCUGACUCUGUCCUAGGGAAUUUUCAGUACUGUCAGUCAAUUUACGAACACGGCCUUUAUAGAGAUUGGGUGUGGCCAACGUGUAAUCAAUAUGGCGGCCACAGAAGAUUAAUUUUUUAUUAUUAGUUACCUGCAGUUAUUCAACGCGCACAAGUGCAGAUCGUUGUAAUUCCGAAUGGCGUGAUGCGUGGACAGUGUCAGUUCGUGAAAUUGAAUCAGCGGAAUGAGCGAUGAAAGGAGCUGAAUGAUGGAUGGGAUUUGCAGUACGGAGUUGCGUAUACCGAAAGUAUGGAAGAGCAGGUCAUUGUGUGGCAGGAGCUGUGGCAGACAGGAAAAUGGAAGUACUGAAAUGGCAGGUGGAAGAACAAGGUGUUGAUAUUGGCAUUAAGAAAAAGAACGGUUAAUAAUUGAAAUAAUUUUCUAGAACCGAGCAGUCUUGCGCUCUCGUUUCGAACCGUCUUUAUUCUUAGUAUGAAUACCAACGUUCUUCCACCAGCCACUUCAGUACCCCCAAGUUCUCAAUUUAUCAUCGACCCUGGCUUUUUAUUUGUAUAAGCAUCGGAGUAUAAGCAUCCUUAAUUUUUUCUUAGCGUUAACAUCGACGCUGGCUGAUAUAAAAGGAAGGCGUCGAUGUUAACGCCAAGAGAAAUUCAAAACGGAUAUAACUGCGUGACUGCUGCACACGAAACAUGGAAGGACUGAUGAAACGAUAAGAUGUCAUUUUCGCGCUGAGGAUGGUCGAAGAAUACUUCUGUGCAGCACCUUAUAUCGUAACCAUGUCUAUUCGAUACUCUGAUAGAUAUCAUUUUAAUCACCAUAAGGUUAUUCUAUGUGAGGCGAACCAGUAAAGUUAGCAAUUUUAAUGUUGUAAUCUUGCUUACCGAUUGUACACUGGGUUCGCAUUAUAAGACGAAUGAUUGGAAAACGCAAAUUAUAACAAGGUUACCUUCCUCUCGGUACUGCACAACUUUGUGCGAUAGAGGAAGAUUGCUGUUUUAUUGCACAGUGGAAAAACACAUUAAGACAGGCAAAUACCAGUAAACGGAUGAAACAGUGGGUUAAGUUUGGAAAUUUACAUUAAUAAUGUCUUAUUUAAAAGUAUGUAUAUCGAGCUUUGUUAAAAUAUAUUUUUCAUUAGAAUCAACGAAUAGGAAGCAUUGUUGUGGACAAAAACGUGAACCAGUUCGCUCUGUGACACAGUUUUUGGUGGCUACAAUAUUUGAAAUACGACUCAACCGAUUUACUUCAAAUAUGGAGACAGUAUUCUCGGAUGGUUAAUUUUCUUUGCCACGAUCUGACUUUUUUUUGUUACAUUAUUUUAUGGUUAAUUGAAUCAAAACGUGAUUUUAAGAUUAGAAACAGUAUGUCAGCUGCGAACGGUCGCUACGCUGUUUAAAAAAAAAAAAAUUGAAAUCAUGGCGUAUACGUUAUUGUGGAAAAUUGUAAAUAAAUAUAUAAAUGUGAAAUAUAUUUUUGUAUGUGAAUUGAA